GACGAACGCUGGCGGCGUGCUUAACACAUGCGAGUCGAACGGAAAGGCCCUGCUUUUGUGGGGUGCUCGAGUGGCGAACGGGUGAGUAACACGUGAGUAACCUGCCCUUGACUUUGGGAUAACUUCAGGAAACUGGGGCUAAUACCGGAUAGGAGCUCCUGCUGCAUGGUGGGGGUUGGAAAGUUUCGGCGGUUGGGGAUGGACUCGCGGCUUAUCAGCUUGUUGGUGGGGUAGUGGCUUACCAAGGCUUUGACGGGUAGCCGGCCUGAGAGGGUGACCGGCCACAUUGGGACUGAGAUACGGCCCAGACUCCUACGGGAGGCAGCAGGGGGGAAUAUUGCACAGUGGGCGGGAGCCUGAUGCAGCAACGCCGCGUGCGGGAUGACGGCCUUCGGGUUGUAAACCGCUUUCGCCUGUGACGAAGCGUGAGUGACGGUAAUGGGUAAAGAAGCACCGGCUAACUACGUG
rnacentral:rRNA from 1 species